YUUUYYSGWWMGCCCUUAGAGUUUGAUCCUGGCUCAGAACGAACGCUGGCGGCGUGCUUAACACAUGCAAGUCGAACGUGAUCCAGAGCUUGCUCUGGUGAAAGUGGCGCACGGGUGAGUAACGCGUGGAUAACCUGCCCUGGUAUCUGGGAUAACAUCUCGAAAGGGGUGCUAAUACCGGAUAAGCCUACGGGAUCUUCGGAUUCUGCAGGAAAAGGAGGCCUCUAUUUAUAAGCUACCGUAUCAGGAUGAGUCCGCGUACCAUUAGCUAGUUGGUGGGGUAAUGGCCCACCAAGGCUACGAUGGUUAGCUGGUCUGGGAGGAUGAUCAGCCACACUGGAACUGAGACACGGUCCAGACUCCUACGGGAGGCAGCAGUGGGGAAUUUUGCGCAAUGGGGGAAACCCUGACGCAGCAACGCCGCGUGAGUGAUGAAGGCUUUCGGGUCGUAAAGCUCUGUCAGAGGGGAAGAAAUGAGUCUGGCUAAUAUCCAGAUUUCUUGACGGUACCCUCAAAGGAAGCACCGGCUAACUACGUGCCAGCAGCCGCGGUAAUAC
rnacentral:rRNA from 1 species